GCAGCGACACUAUGUGUUGUUGGGUAGGGGAGCGUUCUGUAAGCCUGUGAAGGUGUACUGUGAGGUAUGCUGGAGGUAUCAGAAGUGCGAAUGCUGACAUAAGUAACGAUAAAGCGGGUGAAAAGCCCGCUCGCCGGAAGACCAAGGGUUCCUGUCCAACGUUAAUCGGGGCAGGGUGAGUCGACCCCUAAGGCGAGGCCGAAAGGCGUAGUCGAUGGGAAACAGGUUAAUAUUCCUGUACUUGGUGUUACUGCGAAGGGGGGACGGAGAAGGCUAUGUUGGCCGGGCGACGGUUGUCCCGGUUUAAGCGUGUAGGCUGGUUUUCCAGGCAAAUCCGGAAAAUCAAGGCUGAGGCGUGAUGACGAGGCACUACGGUGCUGAAGCGACAAAUGCCCUGCUUCCAGGAAAAGCCUCUAAGCAUCAGGUAACAUCAAAUCGUACCCCAAACCGACACAGGUGGUCAGGUAGAGAAUACCAAGGCGCUUGAGAGAACUCGGGUGAAGGAACUAGGCAAAAUGGUGCCGUAACUUCGGGAGAAGGCACGCUGAUAUGUAGGUGAAGCGACUUGCUCGUGGAGCUGAAAUCAGUCGAAGAUACCAGCUGGCUGCAACUGUUUAUUAAAAACACAGCACUGUGCAAACACGAAAGUGGACGUAUACGGUGUGACGCCUGCCCGGUGCCGGAAGGUUAAUUGAUGGGGUUAGCGGUAACGCGAAGCUCUUGAUCGAAGCCCCGGUAAACGGCGGCCGUAACUAUAACGGUCCUAAGGUAGCGAAAUUCCUUGUCGGGUAAGUUCCGACCUGCACGAAUGGCGUAAUGAUGGCCAGGCUGUCUCCACCCGAGACUCAGUGAAAUUGAACUCGCUGUGAAGAUGCAGUGUACCCGCGGCAAGACGGAAAGACCCCGUGAACCUUUACUAUAGCUUGACACUGAACAUUGAGCCUUGAUGUGUAGGAUAGGUGGGAGGCUUUGAAGUGUGGACGCCAGUCUGCAUGGAGCCGACCUUGAAAUACCACCCUUUAAUGUUUGAUGUUCUAACGUGGGCCCCUUACCGGGGUUGCGGACAGUGUCUGGUGGGUAGUUUGACUGGGGCGGUCUCCUCCUAAAGAGUAACGGAGGAGCACGAAGGUUGGCUAAUCCUGGUCGGACAUCAGGAGGUUAGUGCAAUGGCAUAAGCCAGCUUGACUGCGAGCGUGACGGCGCGAGCAGGUGCGAAAGCAGGUCAUAGUGAUCCGGUGGUUCUGAAUGGAAGGGCCAUCGCUCAACGGAUAAAAGGUACUCCGGGGAUAACAGGCUGAUACCGCCCAAGAGUUCAUAUCGACGGCGGUGUUUGGCACCUCGAUGUCGGCUCAUCACAUCCUGGGGCUGAAGUAGGUCCCAAGG
rnacentral:rRNA from 1 species